rnacentral:rRNA from 1 species
AGAAAUGUUUACAUGGAAGCGUUCUUAGCGGCGGACGGGUGAGUAACACGUGGGUAACCUGCCUCAAAGUGGGGGAUAGCCUUCCGAAAGGAAGAUUAAUACCGCAUAAGCCUACAGUGCCGCAUGGCACAGCGGGAAAAGGAGCAAUCCGCUUUGAGAUGGACCCGCGGCGCAUUAGCUAGUUGGUGAGGUAACGGCUCACCAAGGCGACGAUGCGUAGCCGACCUGAGAGGGUGAUCGGCCACAUUGGAACUGAGACACGGUCCAGACUCCUACGGGAGGCAGCAGUGGGGAAUAUUGCACAAUGGGCGAAAGCCUGAUGCAGCAACGCCGCGUGAGUGAUGAAGGCCUUCGGGUCGUAAAGCUCUUUGAUCAGGGAUGAUAAUGACAGUACCUGAAAAACAAGCCACGGCUAACUACGUGCCAGCAGCCGCGGUAAUACGUAGGUGGCGAGCGUUGUCCGGAAUUACUGGGCGUAAAGGAUGCGUAGGUGGAUACUUAAGUGGGAUGUGAAAUCCCCGGGCUCAACCCGGGAACUGCAUUCCAAACUGGGUAUCUAGAGUGCAGGAGAGGAAAGCGGAAUUCCUAGUGUAGCGGUGAAAUGCGUAGAUAUUAGGAGGAACACCAGUGGCGAAGGCGGCUUUCUGGACUGUAACUGACACUGAGGCAUGAAAGCGUGGGUAGCAAACAGGAUUAGAUACCCUGGUAGUCCACGCCGUAAACGAUGGGUACUAGGUGUAGGAGGUAUCGACCCCUUCUGUGCCGUCGUUAGCACAAUAAGUACCCCGCCUGGGGAGUACGGUCGCAAGACUAAAACUCAAAGGAAUUGACGGGGGCCCGCACAAGCAGCGGAGCAUGUGGUUUAAUUCGAAGCAACGCGAAGAACCUUACCUAGACUUGACAUCUCCUGAAUUACCCUUAACCGGGGAAGCCCUUCGGGGCAGGAAGACAGGUGGUGCAUGGUUGUCGUCAGCUCGUGUCG